UACAGAGACUGCAAGCGUUAUUCGGAUUCACUGGGCGUAAAGGGUGCGCAGGCGGCCGUGUGUGUGAGGCGUGAAAGCCCGGGGCUCAACCCCGGAAUUGCACCUCAAACUACAUGGCUAGAGCAUUGGAGAGGGAAGCGGAAUUCACGGUGUAGCAGUGAAAUGCGUAGAUAUCGUGAGGAACACCAGAGGCGAAGGCGGCUUCCUGGACAAUUGCUGACGCUCAGGCACGAAAGCGUGGGGGAGCAAAAAGGG
rnacentral:rRNA from 1 species